rnacentral:rRNA from 1 species
GUCUACGGCCAUGCCACCCUGAACAAGCCCAAUCCCAUCUGAUCUAGGAAGCUAAGCCAGGUUGGGCCUGGUUAGUACUUGGAUAGGAGAUCACCUAGGAAGACCAGGUGCUGUAGGCA